UUGUCCGUAUGGUUUAGAACGGAUUGAAAUGGGUUAGACUCGUGUGCUCUCCUCUCAUCUCUCACUCUUCCUGUUUCUAUCCUUGUCUACUGGAAAACCCACAAUCUUUCAUCUUCCUCUGCUUUUCCUCUCUUUGAUCCCCAUAUCUCUCGACAUGAAGCACACAAACCAAGUAGUGACAAUCGAAAGCCUCAAACAUGGCGGAGGCGAAAUGGAGGUACAGUGACGGUCGACAACCGCCUCCGGUGUCGAUGAAUUUGGCCGUCGGAAAGCAUCCUCGCUCCGAUUAUGGUAUGUUGAGCAAACAUUAUGCAUGGACUUGGAACUUCUUCCUUUGAAUUGUAGUUGGAAGGGUGUAUGAUAAAUUUAGUGGGAUUUGAGCAUGAGCCGGUAUAUUUAAAUGUUGCCGUCCUCCACUGUUUGAGCCUGGGCCUCCUCUACCUCCAUAGUGGUAUAUUUUCUUAGGAGCCUACUUUGCAUGAAUUAUUUUGUAUAAUUGGUUGACUUAAAUCUUUAUUUGAUCUAACUAUUCCAAUUUGGCUAAUUUGUUUUUUAAUUUUUUAUUAUAUUGGAGUUGAAUUUGGUAUUUUGAGUAUGCUAUCUUUGGAUGCUUAGAAAGAUAGUAAUUUACUUUUGUCUUUGAUUUUUCACUGAUGGGAUGUUGUGAUGGGGUUUAGCAAUUUUCAGUACUCUUCAAUUAUUUUGAAUUUGCAAAAUCAAAUAACUCAUGGAAAUAAAUUAAUAUUUCAUUAAUCUGUAUUUAAGAGAACUUUACAAUAUGUCAUCAAGUUUAGACCGACAAUAAUGAAUGGCAAACUUAGGAUUAAUGCCUCUAUUAAUUUGAUGUUUUCUCAUGGUCGAAAAAUAUAUACAGCUGUCUUAUUUAUUGGACAACAUCAUUCAUCCUCUAUAUUUAAUAUUAAUUGCUUUUCUUAAUCUAGUUUUCCGUCAAUCUGUACUGCUACAUAAUCUCAUCUGGUUUUCGAUUUUGUGAAAUGUUUUGGAGGGGGGGAGUGUGAAAUGUGUUGAUGCUGAUGAUAGUGCCGAAUUUGGUGACACUCCUCAACUAGCAGAGCAGGUAACAGAGCUUUUUCCAACUCAAAUUUAAUGAUUCAAGCUAGCUAAGAUUUGCAUAACAUUCCCAAGUUGUAGUCGAUGUGCCUAAGUGGUUGAGCGCUUGACUAAUGUAUGUAACCACUAAGAUUUGGAUUGUUUUUGUGGAGUAACAAAUAACAUUGCUAAUUUCAGAU
rnacentral:lncRNA from 1 species